UCAAGCUCUUCACACCAAAAAUGGCUUCUUGGAAUUCAUUGCCCCUCCAUGUCUCUUACGAAGUUGUGGGUUGGCUUGUUUUCACCUUGUAGUCUAUCAGUUUCUACCCACAAGUCAUCUUAAACUAUCGUAGGAAAAGUGUGGUGGGAUUGAACUUUGAUUUUGAGGUGUUGAAUCUCACGAAGCACACCUGUUAUUUGAUAUACAAUGCAUCUCUAUACCUCAGUUCUACUGUUCAGAAGCAAUACAAAGACAAAUAUUGUCAUAAUGAGAUGAUACCUGUAGCAGCAAAUGAUGUUGCCUUCUCAUCCCAUGCUGUUCUGCUCACAAUUUUUACCAUAUUCCAGAUUGCAAUC